GACGAACGCUGGCGGCGUGCUUAACACAUGCAAGUCGAACGAAGAGCGAUGGAAGCUUGCUUCUAUCAAUCUUAGUGGCGAACGGGUGAGUAACGCGUAAUCAACCUGCCCUUCAGAGGGGGACAACAGUUGGAAACGACUGCUAAUACCGCAUACGAUCUAAUCUCGGCAUCGAGGAUAGAUGAAAGGUGGCCUCUACAUGUAAGCUAUCACUGAAGGAGGGGAUUGCGUCUGAUUAGCUAGUUGGAGGGGUAACGGCCCACCAAGGCGAUGAUCAGUAGCCGGUCUGAGAGGAUGAACGGCCACAUUGGGACUGAGACACGGCCCAGACUCCUACGGGAGGCAGCAGUGGGGAAUCUUCCGCAAUGGACGAAAGUCUGACGGAGCAACGCCGCGUGAGCGAUGACGGCCUUCGGGUUGUAAAGCUCUGUUAAUCGGGACGAAAGGCCUUCUUGCGAAUAGUGAGAAGGAUUGACGGCACCGGAAUAGAAAGCCACGGCUAACUACGUG
rnacentral:rRNA from 1 species